rnacentral:rRNA from 1 species
AUGGAGUACUAUAACAUGACAAGGCGACCAAUGCCACCAGCAAUGAUGUUUGCUAUCAAGACGUACAUGGCUCAGAACCGACAAUACCGACAAAAUGAACAAUCGUUAAGACAUAUAGCAUCUUCCCCUGGCUAUGGGGCGAUGAAUCUGACAUCCAAUAUCAUGCAAGGUGCGAGUGAAAAUUCUAGAAUGUCUUAUGUGACGGGCAAUGUUGGCCCUUUGCCAUCUAGUGCAGACAUGGUUCUGCAGAACGCCAACAUGGAUACCUCACUGCCAGAAGGAGCUUCUGAUGGGCAUGUGAACACAAUGCUUUCACUAGGGAUAAACCCUACACCGCAUGAUCUUUCUGGAGCGUCCAACAACAACCUGUUAACGCACAAUCUAGAUACACGUGAAGCCAACAGAUUCUCUCCCAAGGCGGCGCAGGGACGCCCGGCGCCUGUGAAGGAUCUCCCAAGGGAACCAAAAUUCACCUGCCCAGUCUGCAUCAACGAGCUAGUCGAUGCAUCAUCUACUAUCUGCGGCCACAUCUUCUGCAAGAAAUGCAUAGAGGCCUCCAUCCGAUUUCAGAAGAAGUGCCCUACGUGUCGUAGGAGGCUGACCAUGAGAAAUUUCCACCGCAUCUACCUCCCGGCGAUGGAUUGA